rnacentral:ncRNA from 1 species
AAGAGGCACUCGUCACAACGGAUCGUCCGGCACGUACCUGCCGGUGAAGGAGUAGAAAUGG